rnacentral:misc_RNA from 1 species
GAUUCUCCAUGCAAAUGAAGUUCACAACUUUCCUUUCUCUCUUUCUUUUCCUCUUUUUCCUUCCUUGUCUCCUUUUCUUUUCUUUCUUCUCUCUUCUCCCCUUCCCCUUCUUUUCUUUUUCCGUUUUUUCUUUUCUCUCUGCUGGAGACUAGAAAAAUCCAGCCCAUGUGCUGGAAAUGAGUGAUGGAGAAGCUGCCAAGUGUCAAUAUAUUUACAAUUUGAUUCUUUAACUUUUAAAAAUUAUGAUUUCACCCCAAAACUAGAAAAAU